rnacentral:tRNA from 1 species
GGGCUGUAGCUCAGUGGUAGAGCACUUGCCUAGCAGGCCCGAGGCCCUAGAUUCAAUCGCUAGCGCGCGCG